rnacentral:rRNA from 1 species
UGUGACUGCGUACCUUUUGUAUAAUGGGUCAGCGACUUAUAUUCUGUAGCAAGGUUAACCGUAUAGGGGAGCCGUAGGGAAACCGAGUCUUAACCGGGCGUUAAGUUGCAGGGUAUAGACCCGAAACCCGGUGAUCUAGCCAUGGGCAGGUUGAAGGUUGGGUAACACUAACUGGAGGACCGAACCGACUAAUGUUGAAAAAUUAGCGGAUGACCUGUGGCUGGGGGUGAAAGGCCAAUCAAACCGGGAGAUAGCUGGUUCUCCCCGAAAGCUAUUUAGGUAGCGCCUCGUGAAUUCAUCUCCGGGGGUAGAGCACUGUUUCGGCUAGGGGGCCAUCCCGGCUUACCAACCCGAUGCAAACUGCGAAUACCGGAGAAUGUUAUCACGGGAGACACACGGCGGGUGCUAACGUCCGUCGUGAAGAGGGAAACAACCCAGACCGCCAGCUAAGGUCCCAAAGUCAUGGUUAAGUGGGAAACGAUGUGGGAAGGCCCAGACAGCCAGGAUGUUGGCUUAGAAGCAGCCAUCAUUUAAAGAAAGCGUAAUAGCUCACUGGUCGAGUCGGCCUGCGCGGAAGAUGUAACGGGGCUAAACCAUGCACCGAAGCUGCGGCAGCGAACGUAUCACCCAAGACAACUUUACGGAGUUGACGAUUGACGGAGCGAAGCGACGUCAAAGCGUUCAUUAAAGUCGAGUUGGCUUAGGGAUACGUUCGUUGGGUAGGGGAGCGUUCUGUAAGCCUGUGAAGGUGUGUCGUGAGGCAUGCUGGAGGUAUCAGAAGUGCGAAUGCUGACAUAAGUAACGAUAAAGCGGGUGAAAAGCCCGCUCGCCGGAAGACCAAGGGUUCCUGUCCAACGUUAAUCGGGGCAGGGUGAGUCGACCCCUAAGGCGAGGCCGAAAGGCGUAGUCGAUGGGAAACGGGUUAAUAUUCCCGUACUUGGUGUUACUGCGAAGGGGGGACGGAGAAGGCUAUGUUGGCCGGGCGACGGUUGUCCCGGUUUAAGCGUGUAGGUGUGUGUUCCAGGUAAAUCCGGUUCACUUUAACACUGAGGCGUGACGACGAGGCACUACGGUGCUGAAGCAACAAAUGCCCUGCUUCCAGGAAAAGCCUCUAAGCAUCAGGUAACACGAAAUCGUACCCCAAACCGACACAGGUGGUCAGGUAGAGAAUACCAAGGCGCUUGAGAGAACUCGGGUGAAGGAACUAGGCAAAAUGGUGCCGUAACUUCGGGAGAAGGCACGCUGACACGUAGGUGAAGUGAUUUACUCAUGGAGCUGAAGUCAGUCGAAGAUACCAGCUGGCUGCAACUGUUUAUUAAAAACACAGCACUGUGCAAACACGAAAGUGGACGUAUACGGUGUGACGCCUGCCCGGUGCCGGAAGGUUAAUUGAUGGGGUCAGCGUAAGCGAAGCUCCUGAUCGAAGCCCCGGUAAACGGCGGCCGUAACUAUAACGGUCCUAAGGUAGCGAAAUUCCUUGUCGGGUAAGUUCCGACCUGCACGAAUGGCGUAAUGAUGGCCAGGCUGUCUCCACCCGAGACUCAGUGAAAUUGAACUCGCUGUGAAGAUGCAGUGUACCCGCGGCAAGACGGAAAGACCCCGUGAACCUUUACUAUAGCUUGACACUGAACAUUGAGCCUUGAUGUGUAGGAUAGGUGGGAGGCUUUGAAGUGUGGACGCCAGUCUGCAUGGAGCCGACCUUGAAAUACCACCCUUUAAUGUUUGAUGUUCUAACGUGGACCCGUAAUCCGGGUUGCGGACAGUGUCUGGUGGGUAGUUUGACUGGGGCGGUCUCCUCCUAAAGAGUAACGGAGGAGCACGAAGGUUGGCUAAUCCUGGUCGGACAUCAGGAGGUUAGUGCAAUGGCAUAAGCCAGCUUGACUGCGAGCGUGACGGCGCGAGCAGGUGCGAAAGCAGGUCAUAGUGAUCCGGUGGUUCUGAAUGGAAGGGCCAUCGCUCAACGGAUAAAAGGUACUCCGGGGAUAACAGGCUGAUACCGCCCAAGAGUUCAUAUCGACGGCGGUGUUUGGCACCUCGAUGUCGGCUCAUCACAUCCUGGGGCUGAAGUAGGUCCCAAGGGUAUGGCUGUUCGCCAUUUAAAGUGGUACGCGAGCUGGGUUUAGAACGUCGUGAGACAGUUCGGUCCCUAUCUGCCGUGGGCGCUGGAGAACUGAGGGGGGCUGCUCCUAGUACGAGAGGACCGGAGUGGACGCAUCACUGGUGUUCGGGUUGUCAUGCCAAUGGCACUGCCCGGUAGCUAAAUGCGGAAGAGAUAAGUGCUGAAAGCAUCUAAGCACGAAACUUGCCCCGA